UUAUCACUUAGCUCGUAGUUAUAAGUGAGAACAUGUGAUAUUUGGUUUUCUGUUUCUGUUCUAGUUCACUUAGGAUAUUGCCCUCCAGCGCCAUCCAUGUUCCUGCAAAAGACAUGAUCUCAUUUUUUCUUAAUUGCUGCAUUGAUACAGCAAUUAUGGCGAAUGAAGGAAGCCAACAAGGA
rnacentral:lncRNA from 13 species